UCCGACGUUGUCGAUGAUGGAAAUAUGUUGACCUGAAAAUGAUGAUUUAAUUCAACAUUUCGUCACUACCACUGAGGCAACGUCUGG